UUCCCUCGCCACGUUCCUUCACUCAAGUGCGCGUGCGCUGCCUGAACCUGGGUGUGUGGGGCGGGAGGUGUCGGCUCCGCCCGCCUACUUAGGUGGGCGGAGACAGUCGCGUGAGUUCGGGGAGCCAGAUUCUCCCGCGCUAUUAACCAGCCCGCCCCCUUUUGCACAUGCGCGUACAUCAGUACUAGAUCCAAGGGUUGUUGAGAGGCUGUGGAGUUGCGCCUGCGCUAUAGACCUCCCUGCCGGAAGUGGGCGGAUCGUGUUCCAAAGCCUAAAGGGCGGAGGGAGAAAGCGCGGCAAAGAUCUGUGUUGCUGAAUGGAACGCUGAAUCCGGACACUGUCCCAGGUGCCCUGCUGCAGAACUACUGAGCCUAGAAAUGUAAAGACCAGAAUAUGGUCAGAGAGAACUUACUUUUCGAUUUUAAAAAGGUUUUACAAGAUUAUUCUGUUUACAUGUGUGUUUAAUGAAGAUUUUAAGGAAAGGGAGGAUUUCCCCUAAAUUUCCUUCCCCACCGCCCCCCUCCCCCGAAUUCUUACAUUUCUAGAAGACUUCAGGAGUCAAAGAGAUAUUUGAAUGCCUACAUGCCCAGUUGGAGAACAAGUAUUCUGGCCAAAAACAAACAAACAAAAAAAAAAACCAGCGUAUGUUCUCAACCACAGAAACGUUCGUCCCUAGUCAGGAAGCCGUUAGGAAGAUACAUUAAAUAAGAGCCGGAAAAGAAAGAAAUCUGCAUCAAGGGGAUGAGGCAGAAGGUGACUUUUGGACCACAGAGACCCGGUUAAACAGGGAGAAGCUGGAAAACUCUAAGAACGUCUCAAGCUGGUGAGCAGAGAAACCUCCAUGCCAAGAGUUAUAAAUCCUAAUCAAGGAUCCAAAAACUGAAGGGAAAGGAAAAGUGAUUCUUGGGUAUUCUGAUGAAGUUACUCAGACAUUCUAUGGAGCUGGGGAGAAGAUUUUUCCCUUUUGGAUAGCUCCCAUCUCCUUAAACUAUCUCCUCCUUGAGAGAUUGGAUCUUAGAAGGAUCCUAAGUCAGGGCUCCUGGGUGGCUCAGUUGGUUAAGCAUCUGGCUUCGGCUCAUGGGUUCAAACCCUUUGUUGGACUCUGUGCUGACAGCUCACAGCCUGGAGCCUGCCUCAGACUGUCUCCGAAUCUCCCUGCCCCUCCCCCGCUGGCGCGCGCGCACGCGCACUCUCUC